CCUAGCGCAUUCUACCGUUCAUAACGCGAACUGCCAACCACCCCUCGGUGGCACCCCCGAAAUAUAUUUCGCACACGGAAAAGGGGGACCGAUGCCAAUUAUAUUUUAAUAUCUCCUAGCGCUACUGUAUUUAUAUAGCCACAUAGAACCCCGCGGAAUACCGAGCUUCAAUUAUAGAAAUCCUUGAUUAUCGAGAGCUCACUUUGUCCAAAUGUUUGCACCGGAUAUAACGCGCGAACAACAAUUUUUUUUUCCCCGUUUACCUCAUCGUCUUGACAUACCUGUACACGUAAAUUCGUAAAACGUAUGCCCACAUGCGCCGUUCGUCAUCGCUCAACAGCUGGUCCUCGACUAUUUAUACUCACAUAUUGAUACGAGUGUGUAGAUUGUUAUAAACUUUAUAUUACGCCGAAAAGUUUUUUUUUUUUUUUCUAUCUCAUCAACGUACGCAAACGCUUACGAAUUCGAUAUAACAUUAUACACGUGAAUUGUGUAAAGUACACGCACGUACAGCUGUUGAGCCAACGAUAAGCGUAACGACCUUUAAAUCGAAAAUAACUUAUAUCCACGCUACGCAUGAUAUGUGCGGCAACCUGAUCAUGAACCGCGUAACGAUCGUUCGUUAUAAUCGUUCGUACGUGUUGACAUCUAUUUUCCAUUUCCUUGAGGAUUUUUUUUGUUCCACGAUAUGAUUGCGAACUAUACCGUUCACGCUCGUAGACGGUGUCGCGUAGAUAUCCUUGGCUGAAAUAAAAACGAUCGGAGAUUUUUCCCUUUUAUACAUUCGCGUUCGAAAGGGCCGUUUAAAAAAGGCGCAUGCGCCCACCCCUGUUUUAAAUCUGAGGUGAGCGCCCCCCAGUGUGUAUUCCGCAUCGCUGAGCAUUUCCACCAUUCAGAAUCGAUGAUGUCACGUGAGGGGUUUUGGUAUCCCGGCAAGGGAUCGCGAGAGCGUGAGGUGGGGACGAAAUCUCCGUUCCGAUUGGCGGAUACGCGCGUCCACCCCGUACCUCGACUCCCAAAAGGGUGGUCGCAGCGUGCCCUUUUCCCCGCUCCCGUCCCGUCCCUUUCCCUUUCCCUUUAUCCACCCCGUGUCUGCUAGUCAGUCUACGCGCGAUGUAAGUCCCAACCUGACCCGAGAACUGAAAAGCAGCGCGAUAUGCCCGUGAACGGGAUCGCGGUCCUCGUAGGUAACCCACGUUGCUCCCACCCCUGUUUCUGGCCACCAUCCCUCCCCGCCCCUCAACCCUCCUACUAAACACGAAACCAAGCCCCGUCCCCUCGCUCCUCUCGGUCCUCGUCCUCCUCUUUCACGCUCGGCCCACCUCCUCCUACUUCCAACGCUUGCACCACCACCACCACCGCCGCCACAACUACCCACCCCACGUAAAACUGGAAGAGCUUUUGCGAGCUCUCAAAUCCUAAAGACCAUCGCGCGCGCCCAAACGUAGAGCACCUCCGUCGAAAGAGCUGCUGGAACGUUACCGACGCCGUGCCACAUCUACUGUCGCCGUGAGCGCACGCGGUACACAUCGAAUUAAAACCGCUCCGGCACCUUGGUUUUCGCUUAGUUUUUGGACGCUGACAGUGCGGUAUCCAUCUAUAUGUAUGUGCAUCCGGAUUUAUACACACGUAAAAUAUAAACGCAUUCGACGCUCGAAAUUUAUACGGAUCAGGAAAAAGACAAAUUAUUGCCGAGAUGAUGAUUUGACGAAAAUUUUUCAUGACAAUUUCACCGAAACACAAAACACACAAGCACACACACACGCGCAUUUAAAAAUAAAAAAAAAACCUAACGUGCCUCGCGUCCAUUGGCGAAUUUAUCACCAGAGUACGUAAUUAAUAAACUAAACGUAUUAGACAAAUAAAUUAUCGUCAAUUUAGAGAAUUCGACGAUCCGCAAGGGUUCGAAAUAAUUUCAAGGAAAAAUCUUAAUCCUUCGUUCCCCAACAGUGAUUAAACGAGUGAUGUUAAAAAUUGACAGCCAAGUUUUAAUAUAUAUUGUGGAAUAUAAUUGAUGGUUUUUAUUUUCUUUCCGUUAUUUACUUUUUUUCGUUUUCUUCAUAAUUCGUCGUCGUCGUCGGUAUACGGGGUUUUUUUAACGUAACUUCGUAAAUGAACCGGAGUUCGAGCACGAGCUUCGUGCCCUAUGCACCCUUACGGAAGAACGAGAACAUUUUACCCGCGGAAUAUGGUUCACAUAUGAAAAUACAGGCGUUUAUCAUUUACGAUUAUUUGAAAGUUGCUCGAUUAAACUGUGCAACUUUGCUAUAAUACACGAUUAUAUCUCAUGUGUAUUGUAAGCUAAUUAUCAAGUUCGUCUCAACCGAGUCUGUGGCGCUGUUACAUGAACUGUCAAUCGCUCAGCAGCUGAUGGGACCCUUACAUCGCGAUUGACUUCCACCCCGAGAACGAUACAUAGAACAAUUUUUCCUUUUUUCCUCAAAAUAUUUAACAUCAAUAACUAAAAACAGUGCAAAUAUACAUCCGUCGUAAGGACUGCCGAACUCACGGUAGACAUACGACUAGAACUACUUAAUAAGGCAAGUGGUAAUUGUAAGCAGUGAAAAAGGACUUAUUCGACGGCCGACGGGAGAGCAAUAUUGUGACCCAGACGCUUCAAAAGGCCCGAAGAUUCUGCCUUCGCAGCAAUUGGGGGCUGCGGUCGCUCCAUGGCCGGGCGCUACCGGCCUCCUCGCUUCGGUGACAGCUGACGACAUGGCUCACAAAGGUCACAGCGGGGUGAACCAGCUGGGAGGUGUCUUUGUCGGAGGUCGACCUCUACCGGAUUCAACGAGGCAAAAGAUCGUAGAACUGGCGCAUUCGGGUGCGAGACCUUGCGACAUAUCGCGAAUACUUCAAGUGAGCAACGGAUGCGUCUCGAAGAUCCUUGGCAGCAGGUACUAUGAGACGGGUUCGAUCAGACCGCGGGCAAUCGGUGGUAGCAAGCCACGCGUCGCUACCGCUGAAGUUGUCAACAAAAUAUCGUUGUACAAGAGGGAAUGCCCGUCGAUAUUCGCUUGGGAAAUAAGAGACCGUUUACUUCAGGAAGGCGUUUGCACCAACGACAAUAUCCCUAGCGUCUCGUCGAUCAACCGAGUUCUCCGAAAUCUCGCCGCUCAGAAGGAACAAACGCAGCAACAGCAACAACAGCAGCAAAGUGUCGGGGUCGGAGUCGGAGUCGGUGUGGGCGUUGGGGUGGGCGCUGGAAGUCCGGCGGAAAGUGUCUACGACAAACUGAGGCUAUUGAACGGUCAGGCCACCGGAUGGCCGAGACCGAAUCCAUGGUACCCUUCCGGUCCCGGGAGUCCGUUUCCGUCCCUGCAGCCCAGUCUGAGUCCGAGUCAUUGUUCGGCGUUGCCACCGGACACAGCGGAUAUCCUUCACGCGAAAAAGGUUGCCGAAUUGGAGGGCGGCGCGCAUUCGGACGAGACAAACAGCGGCGGGGACAACAGUAACGCAGGUAGCAUUUCCGGAGGCGGUGAAGACGACCAGGCGAGACUCCGUCUGAAAAGAAAACUGCAAAGAAACAGAACGAGCUUCAGCAACGAGCAAAUCGACGCGCUGGAAAAGGAAUUCGAGAGGACCCACUACCCCGAUGUAUUCGCCAGGGAGAGACUCGCCGCCAAAAUUGGACUACCCGAAGCUCGCAUCCAGGUGUGGUUUUCCAAUCGGCGGGCAAAGUGGAGACGCGAGGAAAAGCUGCGUACCCAACGGAGGGACAACCCGCAACAGUCGCACGGCGGAGGGGUCGGUCUGGUCAGCGGUCAUCCGACACCUCCACCUCCCCCGCCGCCGCACGCGCCACCCUCUCCGCCAAGGAUUCAUCACGGAUUCGCGCCCUCCGCGGUCUACCCAGGGAUUCCCAGCAUGCCGGACUCCUACAGCCCUAUGACGUCGAUGCCGAGCUUCGCCAUGUCCUCGCCGAGUCAGCAAGGUCAGCAUUCGGGUCCCGGUAUGACGGGUGGCGGAGGUAUGGGCCCGAUGGGCAUGAGCGUCGGGAUGACGGUGGGUCCUAGCCCCGGGGCGUGUCUCCAGCAACGCGACAACGGAUAUUCCUGCGGCGUAGCGCGACCGCCGAGUUACGAACCUCUUCAUCUCGGCUACGGCGCAAGGCCGACCUGCAGCCCCACGCAACCGUAUCACACCGCGGGGUUGAACCAGUACAACCAGAAUACCAGCUCGACCGGUGAGUGUCUACCACACUCGCUGCACUCCCUCCAUUCGCUGCUCGCUCUCUAGCCACAGGAGAGCUGGAUCUACCACGGAUCCGUCGGGACGUACUAUUGAGCGGUCUCAUCUCGCCAGGAGUGAGUGUGCCGAUCGCGGUACCGGGGCAACCAGCACCAGACAUGGCAGCCCAAUAUUGGUCUCCGCGACUCCAGUGACCGUGGUGGGCUUCGACGUCGACUUCCGGUCCCUAGGCGAGACGAGGCCCCUACCUCAUUCCUUUAAUGACAAUUAAAUCGUGAGCCGCGCAGCCGGCCCUCGACUGCGUUUCGGAAAUUAAAAAAAAUUCGAAAGUUUCUUUGAAAAAUUCACCACCGUUUCACGAGGAUUGCGCGAUACGAUCAGGCGAGAAUUGCAGACGUUAUAGUUUCGUCGUUAGUCGAAGAGUUCGCAACCGUUGUCCCUGAAAGAGCAUUGCGCCGGUCGGAUACCGUUAAAGAAAAACCAUUGACGUUCGAUGAUGAAAAAGAGGAGAAGGAGAAGUAAGAAAACAAGACGUUACGUCACGCUCAACUUUUCCCGCAAUCACUGUACGAUACGACAUACAUAUUAUAUGCACUCGACGCUCAAACUCGAUUAUUCUUUUUCUAUCAAAAUUUUUUCAAUUUUUCGCUCUCUCUCUCUCUCUCUUUCUCCUUUUCUCGUUUUUCCCCCCUCUCUAUAAUUAUUGAUGAAAAAAAAAUCACUUAUAUAUUAAAAUACUACAUGCAUACUUACAAUUAGCGGGUUAUUAUACAUGUAAAUAUAUUAAACAAAAAAAAAAAAAAAAUUCAAGAAAAAAUAUGAGCCAUAUACUUAUAUAUAUAUAUAUAAAUAUAUGUAUAAACAUACCUACCUCUGUAAGACAGAGCUCAAAAAAAAAAAAAAAAAUCCUCGAUAUAUCUGAUAUUUAUUAAUAUAACUUUGUACACCUGCAACUCGCCAUUCCCGCCCACCAACGUUAGUACAAUAGCGAUAUGUACAUGAUAAAUUAAAACUGAUAUUAUUAUUAUUAUCAUUAUUAUUACUAAUCAUUAUUAUUGUCAUUAUCCUUAUUAUUCUUGAUACGAUCAUCAUUGCAGUAUACGUACCUUCGAUGAGUACAUGCAUAUAUACCGUCGUAUAUCGGGUAGAUCAGCAGCGAUGCGUACGAGUUACGCACAUUGAUGAUAUCGUAUUCAUCGCACGUAGAAAACAAGCCCGUUACAUACGUAUGUAUAUAUAAUGUGAGUAUAUACAUAUGUAUCAAUAGGUUGUAGUACACAGUAUACAUAUGUAGGUAGAAUGGUAAUUUUUGGCCCCAGCGGCACACGUUGGUACAAAUCCCGAGGUUAUUAUUAUUCUCAUUAUGUAAUGAUUUUUAUUUUUUAUUAAUUCAAUUGAAGUUAUUAUCAUUAUUGACAUCAAUGGUGUUGUUGUGUAACAUAUUAUUAUUAUUAUUAUUAUUAUCAUCAGCGCUAUUUACUAAAAUCAUAAUUAUUACAUGGCAUACCCUGCACGUUUGUUCGUGUAUACCAUGUGUCCCAGCGUUUACGUUGCAGUUUGUCUGGUUGCCUUACGUUAUAUCGGUAAGUCAAACCAAGCUGGUCCGCGAAUGGACGUGGUGCUAUAGGAAAAGUGGCACCUGAUGGCAGUCAACCAGACAUAACGUAGUGCAAGAGCUGGGACACAUGGCAUAUGAUUGACGAUUCAUAUUUUCGAUAACGUUACGUUGUACGAUUACGAUUAUUAUUUUAUUGAAAGAAUUAUUAAUAUUAUUAUUAUUCUGUAUGAUUAUCAUUACGUGUACUACCAGAAUCAAUGUCACUGAUUUUAAUAUUAUACCACGAAUUGUUGCAAUUAAAAUGAUCAUCGUCAUUGUCAUGAUACAUAUAAUUGAUACAUUUGCACAUUAUCAUUGCAGUCUCGAUAUCCAUAGAUAAAAAUUAAUUAUCGGUAUUACGAAGGUUGGUGAAAUCGAAAGAGUCCGAUGAAUAUGAUUUUGAAGUCGGCAAAACUUCUUCAGAGCUUAUUGUUAGCGUUAGAGUAUAUUAUAUUGCGCUAAUUCGAUAGUCAACUGCACGACGGUGAAUUAUAAAUAUACGAAUGUAACGAUGUAAAUUAUUUUGUAUGAUAAUAUAAUACGACGGGGUGGGUCGGUGGAAAAAGGGUGUGAGUGGAGAAAUUCAAAAUACCAGUGAGAGUUCGUUUUCUUGAUAACAAAAAAAAAAAAAGUGUUAUUCAUAAUGACGUCGAGAAAUGAACUUAUAUAUAUAUAUGUACCCUUUUUUUUUAACAUGAGCCCCUGAAUUUUGAACAGGUGAAACAUAAUAAAUUAGCAAAAUGAAUCUCGUGUGCGGCAAACGCAUUUCCUUGUGUAAUUAUAUCAUCAUACAUAUUACAAUAUACGUAGCUAUGUACAGUAAAUGAUUACCUGUUUGUUUCGUUGAUCGUUUGAUUUGUGUUAUAAGGGACAUGUAUUGUAUGCAUAAAAAUUGUAUAUGAAGAAAAUUUCGCGCAGCGAAAGCACCUGUAAAACACCGUCGGUAGUUCGACUAUAAACCAGAUGAAUAAAUUUCUAUAAUAUUUAUAGAAGAGAAUACAAAAACAGUGAAUAUAAAAUUGAUAAGAAGGAAGUUAGGAUUAAUUGAUUAAAGAAAUGAAAGAAACAGACACACGUAACUGAUAGGGUGAAAGAGAGGGGGUGGGAAAGUCAGGAAUUCGUAAUCCACAAGUUAUCGGUGCCGAAAAAAACUUAGCCGAGCAUAUGCAUAUAUAUCCAUGUAUAUAAAUACAUACACAUCUUAUUAUAAUUAAAGACAUUGUUAUUAU